rnacentral:rRNA from 1 species
UACAGAGGGUGCGAGCGUUAAUCGGAAUUACUGGGCGUAAAGCGCACGUAGUCGGCUUUGCAAGUCGGUUGUGAAAUCCCCGGGCUCAACCUGGGAACUGCAUCCGAGACUGCAUUGCUAGAGUAUGGGAGAGGAAAGCGGAAUUUCUGGCGUAGCAGUGAAAUGCGUAGAUAUCAGAAGGAACAUCAGUGGCGAAGGCGGCUUUCUGGACCAAUACUGACGAUCAGGUGCGAAAGCGUGGGGAGCAAACAGG